CUACGGGUGGCUGCAGUAAGGAAUAUUGCGCAAUGGAGGCAACUCUGACGCAGCCAUGCCGCGUGCAGGAAGAAGGCCUUAUGGGUCGUAAACUGCUUUUAUUUAGGAAUAAACCCCCGAACGUGUUCGGGGCUGAAGGUACUAAACGAAUAAGCACCGGCAUAACUCCGUGCCAGCAGCCGCGGUAAUACGGAGGGUGCAAGCGUUAUCCGGAUUUAUUGGGUUUAAAGGGUGCGCAGGCGGGCUAUUAAGUCAGUGGUGAAAUCCCGGGGCUCAACUCCGGAACUGCCAUUGAUACUGAUAGUCUUGAGUUUGGUUGAAGUGGGCGGAAUGUAGCAUGUAGCGGUGAAAUGCAUAGAUAUGCUACAGAACACCAAUCGCGAAGGCAGCUCACUAAGCCAAAACUGACGUUCAUGCACGAAAGCGUGGGGAUCAAACAGGAUUAGAUACCCCUGUAGUC
rnacentral:rRNA from 1 species